rnacentral:rRNA from 1 species
UACGUAGGUGGCAAGCGUUGUCCGGAAUUAUUGGGCGUAAAGCGCGCGCAGGCGGUUUCUUAAGUCUGAUGUGAAAGCCCACGGCUCAACCGUGGAGGGUCAUUGGAAACUGGGGAACUUGAGUGCAGAAGAGAAGAGCGGAAUUCCACGUGUAGCGGUGAAAUGCGUAGAGAUGUGGAGGAACACCAGUGGCGAAGGCGGCUCUUUGGUCUGUAACUGACGCUGAGGCGCGAAAGCGUGGGGAUCAAACAGG